AUACGAAGGGUGCUAGCGUUGUGCGGAAUUACUGGGCGUAAAGAGCAUGUAGGCGGAUAGAUUAGUCAGAGGUGAAAGCCCCGAGCUCAACUCGGGAACUGCCUUUGAUACUGUUUAUCUAGAGACCGAGAGAGGUGAGUGGAAUUCUCAGUGUAGAGGUGAAAUUCGUAGAUAUUGGGAAGAACACCAGUGGCGAAGGCGGCUCACUGGCUCGGAACUGACGCUGAGAUGCGAAAGCGUGGGGAGCGAACAGGAUUAGAAACCCUAGUAGUCC
rnacentral:rRNA from 1 species